UCUUCACUCUAUCCGAUCUGCGCUCUCUCUCUGGGAUCGUUUUCGCGGAAACGCCAUCGCUGGGCAAUACCAAACUCGACGGCCGAUCGCCAUCUGUGGAAAUCCAAGAUAUGGUUCGAAUGCUCCUAGAAUCUAGAGAUGAAUCGAAAAUUGAUGCUUUUGGCCGCUUGUUUCACGAACGUAUUAUUUACGGACGGAACCUGGCAGUUCGAAUCUUCUGCGAUUCCAGUGAUUUCCAUUUUGGUUGGUCGCUCGUUUGGCAAGCGAUCGCUGCGCGCUAGGCGGAAUUCUGACGUGGAGCUUCUUAUUCCAUCGAAGACGGUUGCGUAUGGUGGUAUAACUACAGGGUGGCUUUAGCUGUCUUAGGUGGUCAAUAACUGUUGGACGGCUUACACCCAACUACUGUGCAAGAUGUCGAACCGUUGUUCGUGGAUCAGCUUCAACCAGUGUCCUCAAUUGGUCGUUGUCGACGAGAGAAGAGCGUCCGCGACCAUCAUCGUCGUGGCUCUCAUCUCCACAUCGAAAUUUUUUGAACCAACGGUGCACCGUGCGUUCAUUUACGGUAUCUUCUCCAAAUGCAUCGUUGAUAUUACGAGUCGCAGUUGCAGCUUUAUGACCCAGUUUAUAUUCAUACAAGAAUAUUAACACGAACUUGCUUAGUAUCCAUUGCGAAGUAAAUAACUCCAAGUUAGCACAAAUUAGCAGUAAAAACAAAAGCAUACCUAUCAGCAUACAGCGCGACAU